GAUGAAGAACGUAGCGAAAUGCGAUAAGUAAUGUGAAUUGCAGAAUUCAGUGAAUCAUCGAAUCUUUGAACGCACCUUGCGCCCUUUGGCCAUUCCGAAGGGCAUGCCUGUUUGAGUAUCAUGAACACCUCAACUCCUCAUGGUCUUCUAUGAUGAGCUUGGACUUUGGGGGCUUGCUGGCCCAUUUGGUCAGCUCCUCUCAAAUGAAUCAGCCUACCAGUGUUUGGUGGCACCACAGGUGUGAUAACAAUCUACGCUUGAGGUUUUCCACCAGGCAACCUUCAGUAAUUGGGGUUCACUGGGGCUCACAAAUGUCUUUCUUCAGUGAGGACAGCUCUUUGAAUGUUUGAUCUCAAAUCAGGUAGUACUACCCGCUGAACUUAAGCAUAUCAAUAAGCGGAGGA
rnacentral:misc_RNA from 1 species